UAAGACAGAGGGUGCAAACGUUGUUCGGAAUUACUGGGCGUAAAGCGCGUGUAGGCUGCUCGGAAAGUCGGGUGUGAAAGCCCUGGGCUCAACCCAGGAAGUGCACUCGAAACUCCCGAGCUGGAGUCCCGGAGAGGAAAGCGGAAUUCUCGGUGUAGAGGUGAAAUUCGUAGAUAUCGAGAGGAACAUCGGUGGCGAAGGCGGCUUUCUGGACGGUGACUGACGCUGAGACGCGAAAGCGUGGGGAGCAAACAGGAUUAGAUACCCUGGUAGUCCACGCCGUAAACGAUGGGUGCUAGGUGUCACGGGCUUUGACCCCUGUGGUGCCGCAGCUAACGCAUUAAGCACCCCGCCUGGGGAGUACGGCCGCAAGGCUA
rnacentral:rRNA from 1 species